GACAUACUAAGAACUUUCCAGAGAUGGAUUGGUGCCUUUCGGGAACUUAGAUACAGGUGCUGCAUGGCUGUCGUCAGCUCGUGUCGUGAGAUUGUUGGGUUAAGUCCCGCAACGAGCGCAACCCUUUUUCCUUAUUUUGCCAGCGGGUCAUGCCGGGAACUUUAAGGAUACUGCCAGUGACAAACCGGAGGAAGGCGGGGACGACGUCAAGUCAUCAUGGCCCUUACGGCCAGGGCUACACACGUGCUACAAUGGUCGGUACAAAGGGUUGCUACCUCGCGAGAGGAUGCUAAUCUCAAAAAGCCGAUCGUAGUCCGGAUCGCAGUCUGCAACUCGACUGCGUGAAGUCGGAAUCGCUAGUAAUCGCGGAUCAGAAUGCCGCGGUGAAUACGUUCCCGGGCCUUGUACACACCGCCCGUCACACCAUGGGAGUUUGUUGCACCAGAAGUAGGUAGUCCAACCGCAAGGAGGACGCUUACCACGGUGUGGCCGAUGACUGGGGUGAAGUCGUAACAAGGUAGGCGUAGAUGA
rnacentral:rRNA from 1 species